rnacentral:rRNA from 1 species
CCCAGACAGCCAGGAUGUUGGCUUAGAAGCAGCCAUCAUUUAAAGAAAGCGUAAUAGCUCACUGGUCGAGUCGGCCUGCGCGGAAGAUGUAACGGGGCUAAACCAUGCACCGAAGCUGCGGCAGCGACGCUGAUGCGUUGUUGGGUAGGGGAGCGUUCUGUAAGCCUGUGAAGGUGUGCUGUGAGGCAUGCUGGAGGUAUCAGAAGUGCGAAUGCUGACAUAAGUAACGAUAAAGCGGGUGAAAAGCCCGCUCGCCGGAAGACCAAGGGUUCCUGUCCAACGUUAAUCGGGGCAGGGUGAGUCGACCCCUAAGGCGAGGCCGAAAGGCGUAGUCGAUGGGAAACGGGUUAAUAUUCCCGUACUUGGUGUUACUGCGAAGGGGGGACGGAGAAGGCUAUGUUGGCCGGGCGACGGUUGUCCCGGUUUAAGCGUGUAGGUGUGUGUUCCAGGUAAAUCCGGUUCACUUUAACACUGAGGCGUGACGACGAGGCACUACGGUGCUGAAGCAACAAAUGCCCUGCUUCCAGGAAAAGCCUCUAAGCAUCAGGUAACAUCAAAUCGUACCCCAAACCGACACAGGUGGUCAGGUAGAGAAUACCAAGGCGCUUGAGAGAACUCGGGUGAAGGAACUAGGCAAAAUGGUGCCGUAACUUCGGGAGAAGGCACGCUGACAUGUAGGUGAAGUGAUUUACUCAUGGAGCUGAAGUCAGUCGAAGAUACCAGCUGGCUGCAACUGUUUAUUAAAAACACAGCACUGUGCAAACACGAAAGUGGACGUAUACGGUGUGACGCCUGCCCGGUGCCGGAAGGUUAAUUGAUGGGGUCAGCGCAAGCGAAGCUCCUGAUCGAAGCCCCGGUAAACGGCGGCCGUAACUAUAACGGUCCUAAGGUAGCGAAAUUCCUUGUCGGGUAAGUUCCGACCUGCACGAAUGGCGUAAUGAUGGCCAGGCUGUCUCCACCCGAGACUCAGUGAAAUUGAACUCGCUGUGAAGAUGCAGUGUACCCGCGGCAAGACGGAAAGACCCCGUGAACCUUUACUAUAGCUUGACACUGAACAUUGAGCCUUGAUGUGUAGGAUAGGUGGGAGGCUUUGAAGUGUGGACGCCAGUCUGCAUGGAGCCGGCCUUGAAAUACCACCCUUUAAUGUUUGAUGUUCUAACGUGGACCCGUAAUCCGGGUUGCGGACAGUGUCUGGUGGGUAGUUUGACUGGGGCGGUCUCCUCCUAAAGAGUAACGGAGGAGCACGAAGGUUGGCUAAUCCUGGUCGGACAUCAGGAGGUUAGUGCAAUGGCAUAAGCCAGCUUGACUGCGAGCGUGACGGCGCGAGCAGGUGCGAAAGCAGGUCAUAGUGAUCCGGUGGUUCUGAAUGGAAGGGCCAUCGCUCAACGGAUAAAAGGUACUCCGGGGAUAACAGGCUGAUACCGCCCAAGAGUUCAUAUCGACGGCGGUGUUUGGCACCUCGAUGUCGGCUCAUCACAUCCUGGGGCUGAAGUAGGUCCCAAGGGUAUGGCUGUUCGCCAUUUAAAGUGGUACGCGAGCUGGGUUUAGAACGUCGUGAGACAGUUCGGUCCCUAUCUGCCGUGGGCGCUGGAGAACUGAGGGGGGCUGCUCCUAGUACGAGAGGACCGGAGUGGACGCAUCACUGGUGUUCGGGUUGUCAUGCCAAUGGCACUGCCCGGUAGCUAAAUGCGGAAGAGAUAAGUGCUGAAAGCAUCUAAGCACGAAACUUGCCCCGAGAUGAGUUCUCCCUGAGACUUUAGGUCUCCUGAAGGAACGUUGAAGACGACGACGUUGAUAGGCCGGGUGUGUAAGCGCAGCGAUGCGUUGAGCUAACCGGUACUAAUGAACCGUGAGGCUUAACCUUACAACGCCGAAG